ACGUACACUCCUGCGGGAGGCAGCAGUGGGGAAUAUUGGACAAUGGGCGCAAGCCUGAUCCAGCCAUGCCGCGUGAGUGAUGAAGGCCCUAGGGUUGUAAAGCUCUUUCACCGGUGAAGAUAAUGACGGUAACCGGAGAAGAAGCCCCGGCUAACUUCGUGCCAGCAGCCGCGGUAAUACGAAGGGGGCUAGCGUUGUUCGGAUUUACUGGGCAUAAAGCGCACGUAGGCGGACUAUUAAGUCAGGGGUGAAAUCCCGGGGCUCAACCCCGGAACUGCCUUUGAUACUGGUAGUCUUGAGUUCGAGAGAGGUGAGUGGAAUUCCGAGUGUAGAGGUGAAAUUCGUAGAUAUUCGGAGGAACACCAGUGGCGAAGGCGGCUCACUGGCUCGAUACUGACGCUGAGGUGCGAAAGCGUGGGGAGCAAACAGGAUUAGAUACCCGGGUAGUCCCAUGAU
rnacentral:rRNA from 1 species